CUGUAAGUGGAACAACUUGCUCAGAAAAUGGAAAAGAAUGUGAAAAUAUUAAAAAUUCUCAUUGUAACACUGACAAAUGUAAAUGCGACGCCGGGUAUGUCAUGAAUGUUGACACGUGUACCGCGGAGAAUUCAGCUGUAUCCAUACAGUUAGGGACACUAACGGUCCUUCUUAGCGGCUUGGCAACUCUUAUACAGCAAUUCUGAUUGGGACGCAAAAGAUAAACCUACAUUCUAUUUUGUGUGUGUGAUGGACAUUUUAUUUAUACCUUCUUUUUAACACCGUAAUCAAUGAUUUUAUUUACUAUACUUUAUCAAAUCAAAUGUAGGAUUAACAUUUAAAGAAAUUCGCUUUAUUUAAAUAGAAAGGCUAAUGAACAUGAAUCAAGAAAGGGAACUACGUGCAUUGUAAUCUACAAAGCCGUAAUACGUUUGUUUUCAUAUUUUAAUCAGUAUCUGUAUCUGCUUCCUUUCAGAUUUACCUUUUUCCGAUUUGUUUUAUGUGUGUGUGUGUGUUAAACAUUUAAAAUUUUACAAAAGUCAACUGUUUAAUUCUUGCAUGUAAAAAAUGUUUUUGUAUGUAUGAAUUCAUUUUGCUUGUAGGUUUUGAGACAUUGUAUUAAUGGUACGCCAGAUAGAUGUUUUCAUCUAUUAAAGCAAAAUGGGCAAUUAAUCGGUGAAAAUAGUGUCGAAUGUCAUGUUUAAAGACAAACUUAGUGCAAUUUGAAAAAAAAAAACCAUUAAAAUUAUAUGAAUCCUGGUGAAUUUAAAGACAAAUAAUGUAUAUAAACACAAAUCGUAACGCCUCAGAUUUUUCACUAUCCGUUAAUGCAUAAAAAUAAUGUAACUCAUAUUUCAUUGACAUGAAAUAAACAGUGUUUCGGUAUCUACUAGUUUUACCCGUAUUUUUAUACAAUUUGAACAGGUUUUAAAUAAACCAUACAUUGUUGACAAGAUACUAUUUCCGACGAACGCCAUGUGAUUACGUACAAACACUUUUUCAUGCAAGAAUAUUUAAUUUAGUAAUUCCGUAACAAAGAAGAAAAAUGGAGAUACCACUACUUAUUGCUGUCAAUUAAGUUUCGUGUUAUAUAAUAGAAUUAACUUGUUCCUCAUUCAAAAUAAACACAAAAGUGAAAUCGAAAAAUUUUGUUUUAAUGUACAUUAAGAAUAUUUAUUUGAUAUGAAUAUUAUUUUAAACAUUGUCUAUUGAAUAAACAGUUGGAAAUAAA